UGCAGUCGAGCGGAUGAAGGGAGCUUGCUCCUGGAUUCAGCGGCGGACGGGUGAGUAAUGCCUAGGAAUCUGCCUGGUAGUGGGGGAUAACGUCCGGAAACGGGCGCUAAUACCGCAUACGUCCUGAGGGAGAAAGUGGGGGAUCUUCGGACCUCACGCUAUCAGAUGAGCCUAGGUCGGAUUAGCUAGUUGGUGGGGUAAAGGCCUACCAAGGCGACGAUCCGUAACUGGUCUGAGAGGAUGAUCAGUCACACUGGAACUGAGACACGGUCCAGACUCCUACGGGAGGCAGCAGUGGGGAAUAUUGGACAAUGGGCGAAAGCCUGAUCCAGCCAUGCCGCGUGUGUGAAGAAGGUCUUCGGAUUGUAAAGCACUUUAAGUUGGGAGGAAGGGCAGUAAGUUAAUACCUUGCUGUUUUGACGUUACCAACAGAAUAAGCACCGGCUAACUUCGUGCCAGCAGCCGCGGUAAUACGAAGGGUGCAAGCGUUAAUCGGAAUUACUGGGCGUAAAGCGCGCGUAGGUGGUUCAGCAAGUUGGAUGUGAAAUCCCCGGGCUCAACCUGGGAACUGCAUCCAAAACUACUGAGCUAGAGUACGGUAGAGGGUGGUGGAAUUUCCUGUGUAGC
rnacentral:rRNA from 4 species